rfam:Schistosoma curassoni strain Dakar, Senegal genome assembly, scaffold: SCTD_scaffold0002234
AUCCAAAUGAUGAGUCCCAAGUAGGACGAAACUCGCGUCCUGGAU